AAACCGAUCCGGAUCGGCGAAUCGGCGAUCCGGAUCGGCGAAUCGGCCGAUCCGGAUCGGCGAAUCGGCGAUCCCGAUCGGAAU
rnacentral:pre_miRNA from 1 species